AAACUGUCCUAAACCGAACCGGACCGAUUAUAAAUCAAUUUAUUAUUUAUUUAAUUUAGUUUACAUGUGGCAAGGUUUGAGUGGUUAUUUAAGAGUGUACCAUGUACCCUGCAACACUUGAUUGGACUCCAAAACUACAACUCACGGACACAUCUAAGUUAUCUAACCAUUCUCUCUCCCUCAGAAGAGCCUCUCUCCUAUCUCCCUUCCUUCGUCUCUUAACCCUAGCCGCAACUCCCUCUCAUUAUUUCUCCAUCUCUCUCUGCUACCUCUCCCUCUCUCUGCUACCUCUCCCUCUCUCUUUGUCUCUCUGCUACAUCUCCCUCUCCCUCUCCCUCGACGCUAACUCAAGCCAACAUGAUUUGAACUCGGCGAAACCCACCCAUUUGUCCUCAGCGAAAUCCAUCUCUACAAAACCCAAGUUCCAUCAUCGACCACCAGGUUAUGCAAGGAUUGAUUAUGGGAAUAUUGUUGGUGGUGGAUCGUCAUCAUCAGCUGGAGUUUAGCUGUUGGCCAUGCAGAAGUUGAGGGGCUCUCUCGCAUUACUACUGUUGUUCCUGGUACAGACGAAUCAAUUAGCAAGUUGGUGCAGCAGCUUUAUAAGCUUGCCGAUAUUCAUGAUUUGAGAAUGUUUAACUAUUACAAAGAAUGCAUUUGUUUAAUAUGUUAAAGUAAAAUUGAUUCGUUCUCAUCUCUUAUGAAUUGUGAUGAAUGCAAUGAGUAAAUUUAAUGCUACUUGGUUAAUGCAAAUUAUGUAUAUGUUUGUUUUGAUGGAAAUUGUGAACUUAGAUGCAUGCUAGACAUUGGACAACCUUUGAAUAAAUGGAAUGAUGUUGUAUUAGCCUUUGAUGGAAUGGAAUGGAAUGAUAUAAUGGCAAAA